rnacentral:rRNA from 1 species
GCUCUUACAGAUGAUUUUUCACACACAUCCGCCCGGGUACUACGAGCAUAGCUUAAAACCCAAAGGACUUGGCGGUGCCUCAGACCCACCUAGAGGAGCCUGUUCUAGAACCGAUAAACCCCGUUAAACCUCACCACUUCUUGUUUUUCCCGCCUAUAUACCGCCGUCGUCAGCUUACCCCGUGAAGGUCCAAUAGUAAGCAAAAUUGGUACGCCCAAAAACGCCAGGUCGAGGUGUAGCGAAUGAAGUGGGAAGAAAUGGGCUACAUUUUCUACAAACAGAAUAAUACGAAUGAUACCCUGAAAAAGUGUCUGAAGGUGGAUUUAGUAGUAAAAAGCAAAUAGUGUGUCCUUUUGAAUUAGGCUCUGAGGCGCGCACACACCGCCCGUCACUCUCCCCUACAUACAAAAUCAAAAACAAUUUAUAAUAAAUUAACCUUAAAUACGGGGAGGCAAGUCGUAACAUGGUAAGUGUACCGGAAGGUGCACUUGGACUAAU